AGAGUUUGAUCCUGGCUCAGGAUGAACGCUGGCGGCGUGCCUAAUACAUGCAAGUCGAGCGAGAAGCUUUUGAGUGACGCUUCGGUUGAACGAUAAAGUGGAAAGCGGCGGACGGGUGAGUAACGCGUAGGCAACCUGCCCUUAGCAGAGGGAUAGCCAUUGGAAACGAUGAUUAAAACCUCAUAACAUCGUAGUAACACAUGUUACAUCGGUCAAAGAUUUAUCGGCUAAGGAUGGGCCUGCGUCUGAUUAACUAGUUGGUGAGGUAACGGCCCACCAAGGUGACGAUCAGUAGCCGACCUGAGAGGGUGAUCGGCCACAUUGGAACUGAGACACGGUCCAAACUUCUACGGAAGGCAGCAGUAAGGAAUCUUGCACAAUGGGGGAAACCCUGAUGCAGCAACGCCGCGUGAUUGAUGAAGGCCUUCGGGUUGUAAAAAUCUGAUCUAAGGGAAGAAACAAAUGACGGUACCUUAGGAGAAAGCCCCGGCUAACUACGUGCCAGCAGCCGCGGUAAUACGUAGGGGGCAAGCGUUAUCCGGAAUUAUUGGGCGUAAAGAGUGCGUAGGUGGUUACCUAAGCGCAAGGUUUAAUCUUGAGGCUUAACCUCAUUCUGCCUUGCGAACUGGGCUACUUGAGUGCAGGAGGGGAAAGCGGAAUUCCUAGUGUAGCGGUGAAAUGCGUAGAUAUGACGAAGAACGAAGAACUCCGAUUGCGAAGGCACCCUUCUGGAGUGCGAUUCACGCUGAGGCUCGAAAGCGCGGGUAUCAAACAGGAUUAGAUACCCUGGUAGUCCGCCCCGUAAACGAUGGAUUCCCGUCAUUGGCGAUACACAGUCAGUGCCCAAGCGAAAGCAUUAAGCAUCCCACCUGGGGAGUACGCCGGCAACGGUGAAACUCAAAGGAAUUGACGG
rnacentral:rRNA from 1 species